rnacentral:lncRNA from 1 species
UCUACAAAGAUGCUAAAAAUACAAUAGAUUUGGUAGUUUUGCAUGUUGCUGACCAUUCAGAGGUGGUUUGCUGGGAGUCUAUUCCUCCAUUCUUAGCCAAUUUCAUAAUAGUUUUUAAAUGUAGAUUAUGGUGAUUGUAUAUUCCAAGGCUAGCUAAUGGAAGCUGUCUCAACGAGUUUAAAAAGAAAAAAGGAAAAAAAAAU